GGACCCGCACAAGCGGUGGAGCAUGUGGUUUAAUUCGAUGCAACGCGAAAAACCUUACCUAUACUUGACAUACUUGGAAUGCUUUGUAAUGAAGCAGUGCCUUCGGGAGCCAAGAUACAGGUGCUGCAUGGCUGUCGUCAGCUCGUGUCGUGAGAUGUUCCGUUAAGUCGGAUAACGAGCGCAACCCUUACCCUUAUUUGCCAGCGAUUCGGUCGGGAACUAUAAGGGGACUGCCGGUGAUAAACCGGAGGAAGGUGAGGACGACGUCAAGUCAUCAUGGCCCUUACGUAUAGGGCUACACACGUGCUACAAUGGAGAAUACAGACGGACGCUAAGCCGCGAGGUGGUGCCAAUCCUAGAAAAUUCUUCGUAGUCCGGAUUGGAGUCUGCAACUCGACUCCAUG
rnacentral:rRNA from 1 species